GACGGCUGGACGGCUGCUCUUCCUUCGGGGAGGGAGGAAAGUCCGGGCUCCACGGAAACACGGUGCCGGGUAACGCCCGGCGGGGGCGACCCUAGGGAAAGUGCCACAGAAAGCAAACCGCCCGCGUCCGCGCGGGUAAGGGUGAAAGGGUGCGGUAAGAGCGCACCGCGCUGCCGGUAACGGUGGCGGCACGGUAAACCCCACCGGGAGCAAGACCAAGUAGGAGUGGCAGGGUCCUUUCGCGGGACCAGGCGGCGUUUCCGCUGCUGCCGCUCGGGUAGGUCGCGCGAGGCGUCCGGUAACGGGCGUCCCAGAUGAAUGGCCGUCCACUCCGGCGUGGCCGGACGGACAGAACCCGGCUUACAGGCCGUCUGA
rnacentral:RNase_P_RNA from 1 species